rnacentral:rRNA from 1 species
GACGAACGCUGGCGGCGUGCCUAAUACAUGCAAGUAGGACGCAGUUGCGAACGGGUGAGUCAUGCGUAGGUAACUACCUAUUCGGGGGGGAUAACUAUUGGAAACGAUAGCUACUACCGCAUACUAGUAGAUGGACCUGCGUUGUAUUAGAUAGUAGGUACGGUAAUGGUCUACCUAGGCAACGCUACAUAGCCGACCUGAGUGGGUGAGCAGCCACACUGGUACUGAGACACGGCCCAGACGCCUACGCGAUGCAGCAGCAGGGGAGAUGCGGCAAUGGGAGGAACCGUGACCGAGCAACGGCGCGUGAGUGAAGAAGGUGUCCGGAUCGUAAAGUUCUGUUGUUAAGGAAGCGGUACUGAACCAGAAAGGGACGGCUAACUACGUGCCAGCAGCCGCGGUAAUAC